GGAAAAAUCGCCUAAUGGUAUGGCAAUAGUUUGCUAAACUAUGGAUAUAUUUUAUCCUUGAGGGUUCAAUUCCCUCUUUUUCCG